rnacentral:misc_RNA from 1 species
GCGUCCUUAUUUUUUGUUUAAAAGAUAGAAUUUCAUUGAAAUUGGAGAAAAUUACAGGAGAUACAGUAAAUAAACAUUAAGCAUAAUUUGAAUUCAGAAAUACCGAAGCAAAUGAGAAAAAUAAACAAUAUUGCAACAACUCAACCAAAGUCAGAAAAUGGAUACGCUCCAUGAACAGUAAUGUGUGAACAAUACUUAGUAGGAACACACAGUUUUACUCUUGAACACACAUGUGAGAGAGUACCAUCAGAUUUCAGCUCGCACCUUGAAGCACUAAUGAGUUGUGACUUAGAUCCCCUGUUGAAAAGGCUUUCUCCUAACUUGUGAAUUCCAUAUCUAUUUGUUGAAGGGAAGACGAAGCUAUCCCAUAGAGAAGAUAAGAGCACCCACCAGAAUCCUCAUAAAGGAAGAGAAAAAAAAAGCUCAUAUAGAGCUUAGAUCUAUGUAAAAAACACUAAUUUAUGAAGAUCUUAAGACACAAAAAGGACAGGUGGUUAAUAUGGCAAAAAACCAACCCCCCAAGACAAGGAACAAUGGAACGGAAAUAAGUUGUAGAAACAAGGAGAAAAGAAGAGAAAAAAAAGCAUUUAGGACAAUAGGCCUCUCCAAUACACCCAACCUAGAAUCUAAAAUGUUAAGUGAAAAAACUUGAAAUAACACUCAAAAAAGAACAUUACAUAAGGAGCUUAGAGGCUUAAACUACUAAGUGGGACUAGCAUAUAAGGUAGCUACCCUAAUAAGAGAUUGAGCAGCUACAUUAUCUUGUCCCCGAAUCCAAGCCAAAGUCCAAUCAAACUUGUGUGAUGAUAACUACUUAUAAUAAAAAAUAAUUUGACCAAAUUCGGGGAGAUCCUCCUACAAAUAAUAAAUAGCAUCAACAACAACCUUUGAGUCCUUCUCAAUAUCCACACAGCUAACAUGAUAAUUACUCAACCAAAGAAGAGUUUCUCUAAGAGCAAAGGCCUUGGCAAUAUUA